rnacentral:rRNA from 1 species
UACAGAGGGGGCGAGCGUUGUUCGGAAUUACUGGGCGUAAAGGGCGCGUAGGCGGCCAACUAAGUCAGACGUGAAAUCCCUCGGCUCAACCGGGGAACUGCGUCUGAUACUGGAUGGCUUGAAUUCGGGAGAGGGAUGCGGAAUUCCAGGUGUAGCGGUGAAAUGCGUAGAUAUCUGGAGGAACACCGGUGGCGAAGGCGGCAUCCUGGACCGAGAUUGACGCUGAUGCGCGAAAGCCAGGGGAGCAAACAGGGAU